rnacentral:rRNA from 1 species
UACAGAGGUCUCAACCGUUGUUCGGAUUCAUUGGGCGUAAAGGGUGCGUAGGCGGUCGCGCAAGUCGGAUGUGAAAUCUCAGGGCUCAACCCUGAAACUGCAUUCGAUACUGCCGUGCUUGAGGACUGGAGAGGAGACUGGAAUUUACGGUGUAGCGGUGAAAUGCGUAGAUAUCGUAAGGAAGACCAGUGGCGAAGGCGGGUCUCUGGACAGUUCCUGACGCUGAGGCACGAAGGCCAGGGGAGCAAACGGG